rnacentral:rRNA from 1 species
UACGAAGGGGGCUAGCGUUGCUCGGAAUCACUGGGCGUAAAGCGCACGUAGGCGGCUUUUUAAGUCAGAGGUGAAAUCCUGGAGCUCACUCCAGAACUGCCUUUGAUACUGGAGAGCUUGAGUCCGGGAGAGGUGAGUGGAACUGCGAGUGUAGAGGGUGAAAUUCGUAGAUAUUCGCAAGAACACCAGUGGCGAAGGCGGCUUCCUGUCUGCGACUGACGCUGUGGCGCGAAAGCUAGGGGAGCAAACGGG